UCCGGUAUGGUGUAACGGCUAACAUUGCCGCCUUUCAUUAAGAUAUGUGCAGGUGGACGCGGCAGCUCGGGGUUCGAUUCCCCGUACCGGAA